CCCCGGUUAUCCCGACCUGCCUUCCGGAUCUUCUCGAUUACUCUCCGAUCUUCAGCCCCCCCGGCCUCCGACCACCAGACGAGCGAGCCCCGACGCGUCACCACCCUCAGCCCGAGACGCCGCUCGAUCACUGGGGGACACACACUCAGCACCUUGGACUGGAACCCCCCGGAAACUUGGAGAACCCCUGGAACCCCUGACACCCCUGGCACUCCUAGCACCCCUGGAACCGGAACCUCCAAGACCUCACGUUUCUCUCACUCCUCUUCCCCCCCUGAACCCUUCAAUAAAAAGACUCUGAAUUUGAA